AACAAUUCAUUUAUCUAAGCAUUAGAAAUAGGCAUUCUUGGGCGAGCUGUACAUAGAGAUUGUCACCUAGGUCUUAGAUAAAGAGAAGGUGACCACCUUAUUGUUGGGGGCAGUGUGACAUAAUUGUACUACAUGACAAACUUUGCACCUGCCUCUGUUUAGUGUCAUCCUCUUAGAUGCAGUAUUUCCCACAGUUCCCAGAAUGGGAUGAGCUUCUGUGGGUGAUCACUGAGAUUCCCAUGCAUGGAUGUGCCUGAGCCGAGCACCCCCAGUUGGUUCUGCCAGCGGAAGAGAGUCCAUUACAGGAACAAGGAUGAUGUUUUAGUGUGCGGGCCGGAACAAGCCUUGGGUGAUUUGGAGUUGAGGGUCAGGCUUCCUGAUACACUACGUGUGAUUGCGUCAGUUUCUACGCAACAGUCUCUUAGGUUGCUGUGUUCAUUUCUCCCCCACAGCCAUGGUGUAAAGAUACACUAUUUGCCAUAUGAUGACGAGGGGUCCGGAUCUCCUCUUCAUCGGCACAGAAAGCACUACCGCCUGAAUCAACCCAAGGAUCAUUCAGAAGAAAAUCACCUUUGUGUGAAAGCACGGAGAUUGGGCUUUGUCACUGAUCAUUGUGUCCUGUCCAAUGACUCCGUUGGGGUUUGAAGGUUCUUGAGAGAGGAGAGAGCAGAGACUACUUGGAGUUAGCCAUGAGCUCCAAAGACCUGCACAGCAAUACCUACCAGC
rnacentral:sRNA from 1 species